rnacentral:rRNA from 1 species
CAGGGAAUCUUGCGCAAUGGGCGAAAGCCUGACGCAGCAACACCGCGUGGGGGAUGAAGGCUCAUGGGUCGUAAACCCCUUUUCUCAGGGAAGAAAAAAAUGACGGUACUUGAGGAAUAAGCCUCGGCCAACUACGUGCCAGCAGCCGCGGUAAUACGUAGGAGGCAAGCGUUAUCCGGAUUCACUGGGCGUAAAGAGCGCGUAGGCGGUCCUUUAAGUUAGGUGUGAAAACUCUCAGCUUAACUGAGAGACGCCAUCUAAUACUGGGGGGCUUGAGGGCAGCAGAGGAAGAUGGAAUUCCCGGUGUAGUGGUGAAAUGCGUAGAUAUCGGGAGGAACACCAGUGGCGAAGGCGGUCUUCUGGGCCGUACCUGACGCUGAGGCGCGAAAGCGUGGGGAGCAAACAGG